rnacentral:rRNA from 1 species
UGCCGGCGACCGGCGCACGGGUGAGUAACACGUAUGCGACCUGCCCCCGCAGGGGGAUAACCGGGAGAAAUCCCGACUAAUACCGCGUAACGCCGCGGACCUGCAUGGGUCUGCGGCCAAAGGAAGCGAUUCCGGCGGGGGAUGGGCAUGCGGCGCAUUGGCUAGUCGGCGGGGUAACGGCCCACCGAGGCGACGAUGCGUAGGGGUUCUGAGAGGAAGGUCCCCCACACUGGUACUGAGACACGGACCAGACUCCUACGGGAGGCAGCAG